rnacentral:rRNA from 1 species
AUUGAACGCUGGCGGCAUGCUCUACACAUGCAAGUCGAACGGUAACAGGCCGCAAGGUGCUGACGAGUGGCGAACGGGUGAGUAAUGCAUCGGAACGUGCCCAGUCGUGGGGGAUAACUACUCGAAAGAGUAGCUAAUACCGCAUACGAUCUAUGGAUGAAAGCGGGGGACCGUAAGGCCUCGCGCGAUUGGAGCGGCCGAUGUCAGAUUAGGUAGUUGGUGGGGUAAAGGCUCACCAAGCCAACGAUCUGUAGCUGGUCUGAGAGGACGACCAGCCACACUGGGACUGAGACACGGCCCAGACUCCUACGGGAGGCAGCAGUGGGGAAUUUUGGACAAUGGGCGCAAGCCUGAUCCAGCAAUGCAGCGUGCAGGAAGAAGGCCUUCGGGUUGUAAACUGCUUUUGUACGGAACGAAACGGCUCUGGUUAAUACCCGGGGCUAAUGACGGUACCGUAAGAAUAAGCACCGGCUAACUACGUG